rnacentral:tRNA from 1 species
GACUAAGGUAGUUUAGAAAAACGUCAGCCUGUGGCACUGAAAACGCCAGUUAGAAUCUGGCCUUAAGUC